GACGAACGCUGGCGGCGUGCUUAACACAUGCAAGUCGAGCGGUAAGGCCCUUUCGGGGGUACACGAGCGGCGAACGGGUGAGUAACACGUGGGUGACCUGCCCUCAGCUCUGGGAUAAGCCUGGGAAACCGGGUCUAAUACCGGAUAUGACUCCAUGACGCAUGUUGUGGGGUGGAAAGCCUUGUGCGGCUGAGGAUGGGCCCGCGGCCUAUCAGCUUGUUGGUGGGGUGAUGGCCUACCAAGGCGACGACGGGUAGCCGGCCUGAGAGGGCGACCGGCCACACUGGGACUGAGACACGGCCCAGACUCCUACGGGAGGCAGCAGUGGGGAAUCUUGCGCAAUGGGCGAAAGCCUGACGCAGCCAUGCCGCGUGAGUGAUGAAGGUCUUAGGAUUGU
rnacentral:rRNA from 1 species